GUGGCUGAACAGAGCGCGCUUCUGCUUCAUUGUUCUCUUCCCCUCCGUGCUGUGACCUGCUGCCCCGUCUCGCUUAAUACGCCCUUGGCUUGUUCUGACUUUGACUCUCCUUAUCUUGCCUCAUUAUCUCAGGACAGCUUUGUUCUUCCUUCAUCUCCCUGCUGCAAGUAGCAGAUAAGUUUGUCUUGUGCCCGUAUGUGUUGAGCCCUUUUCCCCUGUGCUUCCCCUCUACUUCUGCGCUGCCUGUGGCAAGGCUGCCUCCGUGUUGCUCCUUGACCCGUGGUAGUCACUGAGCUGGUAGAAAACAUGCUUUGCAGCACCUGCAUUUGUAGAGGUGUUUGCUUUUUUUAUGCAGAGAAGACAAGUCAUCAGUUCAUUGGGGACCAAACGCCACCCCAUCCGGAUACUGGAAGGCUUGCAUCACCUCCAGUGGCAAAAGAAAUUCUCUGUCCCUACAGCCACCGUUUUGUUGGCUCACAGUCUGGAUGCAGCUCCUCUGGGGUUAGGUGACAUUUAAAUGGAUCCUCUUCCCUAACAACUUCAAGAGCAAGAAUGGAGUUGCCAUCCAGUCUUUACCAGAGACAGAUGCCACCUUUGGAUUUCCCAUCUGGAGACUCCCUAGGACUUGUUAGUGCUACCAGUUUGAGGUAGGUAGGGGUAAAGGUGGACUCCUGUGUCAGCAGACCCCUGUUGUAUCCCACAGGCAAAGGUUAUCGCUCAGCAAGGGGGCAUCUCUUCUGUGUUGGGUGGUGCCUGGAGCUGACAGCAGGGCUUUGAGUUGAGGAGCUGCAGUCAGGACGUGUUGGAGCAGUGUUGUGGAUUGAGCAGGCAGAGGUUAAACUGAAGGCAAAGGCUCACACUGUGACCAGGCUGGUGACCGUCAGAUGGGCUGGGUAGUUGGGGAGAGCUAAAGAAUCGGAAUGCAUCAAAGGAGGUGGUAGUUUGGGGUGAAGAGCCUCGAGACCAACUUCUGGUUUCUGCUCUUGAUGACAGUGAUCCUUAGCGAAAAAAGAGGUAUCCAUUGUCUUCGUGAGAAAGAUCCCUGGAUUUAAAUUUCUUUCCUGCUAUUCUCCAAAGAGAAUAUAAGAUCAAAGGGGGAGGCUGUCUCUGUAUAGCAGCCUCCAGCUGCUACCAGGCUCCGGAGCUCUGACUUCAGGCAAAAGCAAUGGGUGGUGCAUAGUAAAACAGUCUCAAUGCAAAGGACGUGGUAGGACGCGCUCAGCUGUAGUGCCGUACUGGAAAAAACCCAGCUUUCCCUCCACAUAUUUUGGGUCCAAGCCAGCAGCAAAGGCCCUAAGAAUGUGCCUUUUGCCUGUUUUGUGCCCUCGACCACCCUGGUGGUGGGGGAAGAGCGAUUCCAGCAUUUUGUGGGGCUGCCAUCUCUCACUUGAUGCCGAGGAGCGGUGGGAGGAGGAACAGCGGGUGCUCUUUGUGCAGAGAGGGACUACGGGGGUCUCUGACUCCCCUGCCCUGCAGUUCGGCUUUGCAGAGCAGCACCUUCCCCUCCCACCCUGCUGCUUUUCCUGCUCUCCGCUCUGCUUUCGUGUCCCUGUCCAGAGGCGAAGGUACCUCUGUCAUUCCCUGUCCUGGUUGCUGUUGGGGAGGUGCGAGCACGUGGUAUUGAUGAGCCAUGGUGGUGCAAAAAAUACUUUUUUUUUUUAUGCCCUCUCUGCCCCUUCUUUUCUUUCAGUGACAUUUGGCCUCUCCUUUCCCCCUUCCGUGGAUAGUCCUAAAACCUUCAGCUAUAUUUUGGCCAGCACUGGUUUCAUCCCAGCCCCUCCCAGUCCCUCUGAGACUGGUCCCUGCUGCUGAAGGGGAAGACGGGCCAGCAGUGGUUGGAGGCCCCAUAA